rnacentral:rRNA from 1 species
AGGACGAACGCUGGCGGCGUGCUUAACACAUGCAAGUCGAGCGGAAAGGCCCUUCGGGGUACUCGAGCGGCGAACGGGUGAGUAACACGUGAGCAACCUGCCCUUAGCUCCGGGAUAGCUCCGGGAAACCGGAAUUAAUACCGGAUAUGACUUAGGCCGACAUCGGCUGUGGUGGAAAGUUUUUCGGCUGGGGAUGGACUCGCGGCCUAUCAGCUUGUUGGUGGGGUAAUGGCCUACCAAGGCGACGACGGGUAGCCGGCCUGAGAGGGCGACCGGCCACACUGGGACUGAGACACGGCCCAGACUCCUACGGGAGGCAGCAGUGGGGAAUCUUGCGCAAUGGGCGAAAGGCCUGACGCAGCGACGCCGCGUGGGGGAUGAAGGCCUUCGGGUUGUAAACCCCUUUCAGCAGGGACGAAGCGAAAGUGACGGUACCUGCAGAAGAAGCGCCGGCUAACUACGCGCCAGCAGCCGC